rnacentral:rRNA from 1 species
UAAUACGAAGGGGGCUAGCGUUGUUCGGAUUUACUGGGCGUAAAGCGCACGUAGGCGGACUAUUAAGUCAGGGGUGAAAUCCCGGGGCUCAACCCCGGAACUGCCUUUGAUACUGGUAGUCUUGAGUUCGAGAGAGGUGAGUGGAAUUCCGAGUGUAGAGGUGAAAUUCGUAGAUAUUAGGAAGAACACCAGUGGCGAAGGCGGCUCACUGGCCCGGUACUGACGCUGAGGCGCGAAAGCGUGGGGAGCAAACAGGAUUAGAUACCCUGGUAGUCCACGCCGUAAACUAUGGGUGCUAGCCGUCGGUCGGCAUGCCGGUCGGUGGCGCAGCCAACGCAUUAAGCACCCCGCCUGGGGAGUACGGUCGCAAGAUUA